rnacentral:rRNA from 1 species
ACGGAGGGUGCGAGCGUUAAUCGGAAUCACUGGGCGUAAAGCGUGCGUAGGCGGCCUAUUAAGUCAGGUGUGAAAUCCCACGGCUCAACCGUGGAACUGCAGUUGAUACUGUUGGUCUUGAGUGUGUGAGAGGAUAGCGGAAUUCCUGGUGUAGGAGUGAAAUGCGUAGAGAUCAGGAGGAACAUCAGUGGCGAAGGCGGCUAUCUGGCCCAAUACUGACGCUGAGGCGCGAAAGCGUGGGGAUCAAACAG